rnacentral:lncRNA from 1 species
CCCCAAAACCGUUGCUCCCGAAUUCCUCUCUCUCAGCAGCAACCGCCAAAGCCGCCCCCCGCGCCCACGUUCUCCUCUCCUCGCGUCUCGGCUACGUAGUGGAGAGCGUCCGCGCCCAAGCCGCUCCCCCUCUCAUUUUCUCCUCCUCGCUCUGUCUCAUCUCGCGAGAGUUCUGAGAAGUCGCAGAAGAAUCGCCGCCGGCGACCUCCACGCGAUUUCCGUCGAGCCGUGCCUUUCUCGCCCGUUUCUUCGCGUAGGUGAGAUCCUCGUUUCCCCCGCUUCGUUCUCGUCCAUUUUCUUUGCGAAACGAUGCGUUCCUUCGUCAUGGCCGCGAGCUCCAGGGACUCCGGCAUGGCGCCGCCGUGAACCUUCUCGGAAACCGCCUCCUCGACCGCAUUUUUGGGGUGGAAUGGACUCACAUCGCUCUCCUCUUUCUCCCAGUUCAAUCGGAAUCGAAAACCGUGCACCGUAGCCCCUCCUCUGCUCAACUCCGGCGAGCUUCAGGCGCCGGCCAUGGUGGCCAUCGUAUUCUUCACGUGUUCUGGCCGGAGUCGGCCUGUGCGCCGUCCCCUUCCUCUCUCCUUUUUUUAUUUUUUUUUCUUUUAAUCCAGCGCGUUCAUCAAGAGAUCAACGGCCCAGAGAGCCCCAUACCCCUUCGGGGGCGAUUUUGAUUAAGAGUCCCCCAAAAUUAUUGUAUUUGCACCGCAGUCCUCGGCUAGAGAGAUUUUCCAGGAUUUAACUUAUUUAUUUAAAUUCGUUUAAACUAUGUCUUAUUUACAGAAUUGCCACCGCAUUGUUUUAGCUAUAAAAUCGUCGUUUGAACUCCGAAUCGACCCGUUCAAGUUGUGUUAGUUUCGUAAUUUCGUAAGCUUCGCGUUGGUACCACUGUUGUUUAGGUUUACCACUGUUAGAUUUCCUAGUUAAUUACAAGUCCAUAGAUUGUUGUUGAAAUCCCGUUAAAAGCGUAACUUUCGCGUCGUAAGUCCGUUUUUCGUGAAUUUCGCGUUGACGUGAUCGUAGCAGCACGUAGAUGAUUUUGGAAAACUUUUAUUUAAUUUAUUUACUGCUGGUGUACUGUUCUAACUUUAGGAAUUGUUCUCUUGCAUGUUCGUCUUGGUAUGCGUGAUGAUUGUGAUGUAUUGAUCGAGCCCAGACGGUGAGGAGUAUUUCGGGAGUCCGGAGCUCUUUGGGGAUCAGCAGGACCAGCAAGACCAGCAGGAGUACGUGAACCAAGGCAAGUAUAGCAUGGGCCUACCUUGUUGUCCUACUCAUUUUUAAGCAUUUCACCCUGCAUGUGUACAAUAUUGCAAACUAUAAGGACAUCCUAGCUGUUGAUGACAAUUACCUUGUUUCCGAGGGUUUUUAUUGCAUAUGGGUGGAAGUGCUAGUGCUCUAACUCCAAUUAUAUAUGAUGUGAAAUCAGUGAUGGAACCAUGGUUAAUUGAUUAAACAUGAUUAUGAUAAAUGGAACAUAGGGCUAUGGUAUAAAUGACUGUUGGUCAUGUUGUCCUAGACCCUCCGUAAGGACUUAUCUGUCGG